UACGUAGGGUGCGAGCGUUAAUCGGAAUUACUGGGCGUAAAGCGUGCGCAGGCGGUUUUGUAAGCCAGAUGUGAAAUCCCCGGGCUUAACCUGGGAAUGGCAUUUGGGACUGCAAGGCUGGAGUGCGGCAGAGGAGACUGGAAUUCCUGGUGUAGCAGUGAAAUGCGUAGAUAUCGGGAGGAACACCUGUGGCGAAAGCGGCUCACUGGACCAUAACUGACGCUGAUGCACGAAAGCUGGGGGAGCAAACAGG
rnacentral:rRNA from 1 species